rnacentral:rRNA from 1 species
CGCCCUCUUCGGAGGGAGUGGCAGACGGGUGAGUAACGCGUGGGAAUCUACCUAGUGGUGGAGGAUAACUUCGGGAAACCGGAGCUAAUACUCCAUAAGCCCUUCGGGGGAAAGUUUUUUCGCCAUUAGAUGAGCCCGCGUUAGAUUAGCUUGUUGGUAGGGUAAUGGCCUACCAAGGCGACGAUCUAUAGCUGGUCUGAGAGGAUGAUCAGCCACACUGGAACUGAGACACGGUCCAGACUCCUACGGGAGGCAGCAGUGGGGAAUAUUGCACAAUGGGCGCAAGCCUGAUGCAGCCAUGCCGCGUGUGUGAUGAAGGCCUUAGGGUUGUAAAACACUUUCAUCGGUGAAGAUAAUGACGGUAGCCGAAGAAGAAGCCCCGGCUAACUCCGUGCCAGCAGCCGCGGUAAUACGGAGGGGGCAAGCGUUGUUCGGAAUUACUGGGCGUAAAGCGCACGUAGGCGGACUGAUCAGUUGGGGGUGAAAUCCCGAGGCUUAACCUCGGAACUGCCUUCAAUACUGUCAGUCUUGAGAUCGGAAGAGGUGAGUGGAAUUCCUAGUGUAGAGGUGAAAUUCGUAGAUAUUAGGAAGAACACCAGUGGCGAAGGCGGCUCACUGGUCCGAUACUGACGCUGAGGUGCGAAAGCGUGGGGAGCGAACAGGAUUAGAUACCCUGGUAGUCCACGCCGUUAACGAUGAGAGCUAGCCGUCGGACAGUAUACUGU